UUCUACGAAUAUUUUAGAGAAAUUAACUGUGAUGAUUGUGUAAUAUUUUGAAUGUAACAUUGGAAAGUAUCAAAAAUAUAUUCCUAAAAUAUAAUUCAUAAAGUUUUGAUGACUAUGAUGAAUAAUUUCUAUUUGACUCCAUUUUUGAAAUGAAACAAAGGAUACGUUUAAUUUAAUUUCUCUGGACCAAUGUAUGUAUUUUAGCUUUUUUAUAGUAUAUAAUCGAAAAUUUAAUACUUAUUUUCCAUUUUUUAGUUCAAUUAAGGUUUAUUCAUUCAACUUAGGUAUUUGAAUGAAGUGUUACAAGAACCGGAAGUUAGGUUCCGGAAACUUCAAUGCUUGAAGGACACAAGCAUUCGAACUUGUCAGAAAUUAUUCCACGAAAGUGAGCAAAUGAUGAAUUCGUACCGAAUCGCCUAUCGAACUUUAAUCAUUCAUUGUAUGUAAAUUAUCCUGGUGACCUUAAAAUGGUAAUUUCUUACAAUUAGUUGCACAUGCUCGAAAGUCUUUUCAUAAAACAUAAUGAAGUUCAAGCACGUGGAUGAAGAAAGUAUCCUCGCAUCCUUGCUUUCACAAAGAAAAUGUGACAAUUCAUUACUGGAAAGUCAUCCAUAAACGAUCUUCUUCAACAAAUUGCGUAUACAACAAAUCGGCGUACUAGUAUCUUAUUUUAAUAGAAGUACGAAGUUCGAAUGUAAAUCGGUGCGUAUAAUAUAAAUACAAUUCAACAUCAUAUCUACCUACUAAUACGCAACAUCUAUACAUCAAAACUUAGCUUGUUCGUACUUUCCGAAUCCGGACUCGAGGAGCGCAAAGAUUCUAGCAAAGCGAAUAAGAACCAAAUGCUGAUAGGACU